rnacentral:rRNA from 1 species
GUGGGGAAUAUUGGACAAUGGGCGAAAGCCUGAUCCAGCAAUGCCGCGUGAGUGAUGAAGGCCUUAGGGUUGUAAAGCUCUUUUACCCGGGAAGAUAAUGACUGUACCGGGAGAAUAAGCCCCGGCUAACUCCGUGCCAGCAGCCGCGGUAAUACGGAGGGGGCUAGCGUUGUUCGGAAUUACUGGGCGUAUAGCGCACGUAGGCGGUUUUGUAAGUUAGUGGUGAUAGCCUGGGGCUCAACCCCAGAAUUGCCUUUAAGACUGCAUCACUUGAACGUCGGAGAGGUGAGUGGAAUUCCGAGUGUAGAGGUGAAAUUCGUAGAUAUUCGGAAGAACACCAGUGGCGAAGGCGGCUCACUGGACGACUGUUGACGCUGAGGUGCGAAAGCGUGGGGAGCAAACAGGAUUAGAAACCCUUGUAGUCC